rnacentral:rRNA from 1 species
CCUACGGGUGGCUGCAGUGGGGGAUAUUGCACAGUGGAGGAAACUCUGAUGCAGCAACGCCGCGUGAGCGAAGAAGGUCUUCGGAUCGUAAAGCUCUGUUGUUAGGGAAGAACAAGUACGGGAGGAAAUGACCGUACCUUGACGGUACCUGACGAGGAAGCCACGGCUAACUACGUGCCAGCAGCCGCGGUAAUACGUAGGUGGCAAGCGUUGUCCGGAAUUAUUGGGCGUAAAGCGCGCGCAGGCGGUCUUUUAAGUCUGAUGUGAAAUCUUGCGGCUCAACCGCAAGCGGGCAUUGGAAACUGGGAGACUUGAGUGCAGAAGAGGAAAGCGGAAUUCCACGUGUAGCGGUGAAAUGCGUAGAGAUGUGGAGGAACACCAGUGGCGAAGGCGGCUUUCUGGUCUGUAACUGACGCUGAGGCGCGAAAGCGUGGGGAGCAAACAGGAUUAGAUACCCCUGUAGUC